AGUCGAGCGGUAAGCUGUAGCAAUACAGCCUAGAGCGGCGGACAGGUGAGUAACACGUGGGUGACCUACCCUUAGGAUGGGGAUAGCCACUAGAAAUAGUGGGUAAUACCGAAUGUGGUUACCGGGCUGUGGUCUGGUAAAGAAAGGAGCUAUGGCUCCGCCUGAGGAUGGGCCCGCGUCCCAUUAGUCAGUUGGUGAGGUAACGGCCCACCAAGGCGAUGAUGGGUAGCCGGCCUGAGAGGGUGAACGGCCACACUGGGACUGAGAUACGGCCCAGACUCCUACGGGAGGCAGCAGCUAAGAAUAUUCCGCAAUGGACGAAAGUCUGACGGAGCGACGCCGCGUGGAUGACGAAGGCCGAAAGGUUGUAAAAUCCUUUUGUCGAUGAAGAAUAAGCAUGGGAGGGAAUGCCCGUGUGAUGACGUUAGUCGGCGAAUAAGCCCCGGCUAAUUACGUGCCAGCAGCCGCGGUAACACGUAAGGGGCGAGCGUUGUUCGGAAUUAUUGGGCGUAAAGGGCGCGUAGGCGGUCCUGUAAGCCCGGCGUGAAAACCUGGAGCUCAACUCCGGGCCUGCGCUGGGAACUGCGGGACUAGAGUCAUGGAAGGGAAGUUGGAAUUCCAGGUGUAGGGGUGAAAUCUGUAGAUAUCUGGAAGAACACCGGUGGCGAAAGCGAACUUCUGGGCCAAUGACUGACGCUGAGCGCGAAAGUGCGGGGAGCAAACAGGAUUAGAUACCCUGGUAGUCCGCACCAUAAACGAUGUACACUAGGCGUUGGGGUCGAGUGACUCAGUGCCGAAGCUAACGUGAUAGUGUACGCCUGGGGGGAGUAUGCCCGCAAGGG
rnacentral:rRNA from 1 species